GAACGCGCUGUGGUUGGCUACCUGCUGGUGCCUGCUGCUCUUCCUGCCGGCCAUCGUGAUAAGCCUCGCCCUGGCGCGGUUCUACCUGCGGAUGGAGAACGACGACGACACGCUCCCUCUCCACUCGAACGGGUCGCCCCCGGGCUCGAGCACCAACCUGCAGGGCGGCGCGUCGUCGGCGCUGUGGGGGCCGAAGGCGACGCCGCACGCCCACGCGCACCACGCCUACCCGAGUCGCCACCACAAUGGCAGAAACAAACACUGGUGAAGUACGCUCCUCCCCGCGCCAGGACGGCCACCUCCCUCGCCCUCUGACGUGGGAAGUCUCGCCCCUUUGGUGAACCGUGACCUGACUUCCCUCUGGAGCAGGAGUGCCAUGCCUCUCUCCAGGUGCCACAAAGAUGCCAUCCUCCAGCACCUUACCGAACUGUCUUCAUUCAUUCAUAGGAUUCGGAGUUGUAAAUAAGUUUGAUACUUGGCAAUACAUGUAAAUGGCUUGGCUACAUGUUUCAGGUUGUGCGAAUGUGUGUUUGUGUGUACUCUUAUAUUUUUUCUUUUUGUUUAGGUCAAAGUAUUCAUAAAUUUUAUGAUUUCAGUAAGUACUACGUUUUCAUGAUUUCAUCAUGUAAAUUGAAAAUGAAAUAUGAUAAAACUCUAUCGAAAUCUUGUUUACAUAAUUAUUUGAAUAAUAUUCAUAUCAUAAUUGUUUAUUAUUUUACUUUUCCAGAUUUUUAUAUUUUCCUAUUUUGUGAGCUAUAUUAAUAUGAUUUUUUCAGUCAAAUAUGAAGCAAUUCAUGUAGAAUGGUACAUCUAUAUUUUCAUAAUACAUAAAGAUAUCCUUAAAUAGUAAGUGUACUUAUGAACAAUUGUUAUAUAUAUUUUAUAAUUUAUUCAUUUGAGGUGAUACACUUCUUUUAAGUAAUUCCAAUCCUCUGAGGAUAUGCACUGCACCCCUUUUUACCACCGUACGUUCUUGCACUUGUUGGUUAUAGCAUUUAAUUUGUUUAUCUAGUCAACACAGCCAAAACACACUGUAUUUCCCUCUCCUUUUGUACGUUUUCAUUUUUUUUCUAAUGGCACUGAUUUAGAAUAUCUCAUCUGCACUGUGUUCAAUAAUUAUCGUGUGAGAAUAUUUGAAAUAGCUUGGUGUGAAACUGAGACAUUAUUUUUCCUUUAUUUUAGGUUAUAGCAGUCAACGCCAUGAAAUGGUUUGUUGAGUAAUGUAAGAGUUUAGGAUUUGCAUUGUUUUGUACACUAAGCGUAGAUCAUCUAAUUUCGAUGGAAAAAUAAAACGAAGAAAGUAUACUUUUUCUAUU